AACGAACGCUGGCGGCAUGCCUAACACAUGCAAGUCGAACGAAGGCUUCGGCCUUAGUGGCGCACGGGUGCGUAACGCGUGGGAAUCUGCCCUUUGCUUCGGAAUACAGUUAGAAAUGACUGCUAAUACCGGAUGAUGUCGCAAGACCAAAGAUUUAUCGGCAAAGGAUGAGCCCGCGUAGGAUUAGCUAGUUGGUGGGGUAAAGGCCUACCAAGGCGACGAUCCUUAGCUGGUCUGAGAGGAUGAUCAGCCACACUGGGACUGAGACACGGCCCAGACUCCUACGGGAGGCAGCAGUGGGGAAUAUUGGACAAUGGGCGAAAGCCUGAUCCAGCAAUGCCGCGUGAGUAAUGAAGGCCUUAGGGUUGUAAAGCUCUUUUACCCGGGAUGAUAAUGACAGUACCGGGAGAAUAAGCUCCGGCUAACUCCGUG
rnacentral:rRNA from 1 species